GGUUCUGUGGUGUAGUUGGUUAUCACUUCUGUCUAACAAUAUCAAGUCCGAUGUUUCGUGCACAGGCGGUCCCCGGUUCGAACCCGGGCGGAAUCA